ensembl:miRNA Mir6961 microRNA 6961
AAAGCUGACUGGGAAGGAAAUGGCCAGGGCUCUCUAACUAACCUGUCCUCUUUCUUCCUGGCUCUAG